UCAUAUCGAUUGAUCGCAGGUGCAUAACAGGGAACCGGGUGCAAUUCCCGGACUGUGCCAGCAACCGUGAGGCAGACGAAACGCAAAGACCAUUCCCAGAAGGGGAGAAGGUGCGUGGAAGAUGAAGCCGAGCCGGGAGACCUACCUGCAUCAAAAUACAAUU
rnacentral:ncRNA from 2 species